rnacentral:rRNA from 1 species
UAGGGAAUCUUCGGCAAUGGACGAAAGUCUGACCGAGCAACGCCGCGUGAGUGAAGAAGGUUUUCGGAUCGUAAAACUCUGUUGUUAGAGAAGAACAAGGACGUUAGUAACUGAACGUCCCCUGACGGUAUCUAACCAGAAAGCCACGGCUAACUACGUGCCAGCAGCCGCGGUAAUACGUAGGUGGCAAGCGUUGUCCGGAUUUAUUGGGCGUAAAGCGAGCGCAGGCGGUUUCUUAAGUCUGAUGUGAAAGCCCCCGGCUCAACCGGGGAGGGUCAUUGGAAACUGGGAGACUUGAGUGCAGAAGAGGAGAGUGGAAUUCCAGGUGUAGCGGUGAAAUGCGUAGAUAUAUGGAGGAACACCAGUAGCGAAGGCGGCUCUCUGGUCUGUAACUGACGCUGAGGCUCGAAAGCGUGGGGAGCAAACAGG